AAGAACAGAGAGUUACAUAGAUCAUGUUGGUGAUGGAAGUGGAGCAACUUAUUGCAUUCCCUUCUCUCUUUUAGACUAAGACUUUUAAAUAUUACAUGAAAUAAAUAUUCAUGGAGAGUUUUGUACUUGGCCCUUCUAGCUAUUAAUUUAUUUCUAUUCCUUUUUGUCUCUAUUCUGUUUAAGCCACAUUUUUUCCAUACAUUGUAAUCAGAGCAGAAGGAUGUUUUAGCUAAUAAAGAUUUUAAGCCUUGAGCAUAAUUUUUAAGUGUUUUUUGUUCUUAAAAGGUUUCUUUUAGCAACUCUCUCAGAAAGCAGGGACUGUAUUAAUGAAAAAUAAAACUGGCUAAGAGCAUUAAUAUUUAGUACUGUUCCAAAUGCGGCUGUGUGAGCACUUGACUUGGCAAAACUCCUUUGCAGUUUUGAAAACGUAACACUGGGGUAUAAAGACGCUGCUGAAAGUAACCGCCGCGGCCGCCAUCUUCCCUACGAGCUCUGCGGCGGGGCGCGUGCGCCGCCACGUGGGGCCGCGCCUGCCCGCCGAUUGGUGGCGGGGCGCAGCCAAUGGGGGCGGGCGUUGCGGGGGGCGAUGCGGGCGGCGGUGUGGACGGCGCGCUCGGCGCUGCUGUACUCGGUGGGCGGUUGGACGAUGCUGGGGGCCCUGCUCCACCACACCCAGAGCAGUAGCAGGAAUAGCAGCAGCAGCGACGGCGGCGACGGGCCCGAGAAAGAAAGUGAUCCUGAGGCAAGCCAAAGAGCCCGCAGAGAAGUCUUUACUACCAAUACACCUAUAGGCCUACAAAUCACAACGUUAACAUUCUCUGGAAACUUGGAAUUUUGUGCUGAUGCAGCGGAGAGCUGACUUAUCCAAGAGAUUCUGCUUGAUGCGUGAUAUCAGAAUGCUAGUGGAAAACUUUCUCUUGCAUCGUUGAAACAACAGGUCCAUAUUUGAAAUAACUUUGCAAAGCUUUGUGGACCUUCUCAUCUGCUCAAAUCAAUGAUUUUCUUUGUGCAUGUAUUCAAAUUAUUAAACAUGAACUGUCUUCAACUAAAUGUGCUGCAAAAUGUUAAUGAAACUGCAUGUUACCUGGUGUCCAGUGUUUGACAAGGUGGCUGUUGCUGCAUUUUUGUGAAAUGGAUUUGUUGGUGUGCAGGACUUACAUGGGUGAUCUGGGAUUUGUUCCUCUGCUGAUUUAGUUCCUCAACUGAUUGUUUAGGAACAACUGGUAAACUGGAAGGAAUGUAGUUUGAUCUUUGGGGUGUUAGAGUUGUAUUGUCCUUCAGAUCUUUGCAAGGUGAAUGACUUUGGUGAAAUAUGAAUUACAAAGGUAGAAGUGCUACUGCUGGAAGCACUUGCAUUGAAAAUUCAGUAACACUAUUAAUUUCUCUAACAUUUUAAGAGCACAGCUAACAUACCUGAAAAUGUAUUAAGUUGCCGGGGAAAGAUGUUCUUUCAGUUGCAAGCCUGGAGAAUAUUCUGAAAGGAAUCAAAGAAGCUUUGCACUUUUUUUUCUUGGGUUUGUAACACAUAGUUCUAACUCAGUCCUCCUGUAUCAAUGAUGACAGUAGUAAUGAAGAUCCAGGACAACAGAUUUCUAUUGCAAAUAGAACGGGUUUAGUUGUAAGUAUGCAUUAACUUGGAAAAAAAGUUACAGUGCUUUUUCUCCUGUCUUUACAAUCACCUUGAGCAUGUACAGGUGAGCGGAUAAAGUACAAAUCACUGAGAAGUGACAGGAAGACGACUAGUUUAAGAAUUCUGUGGCUGAAAUAACCUUUCAGAUGAUAAUUUAUCAUGAGGCCAAAGUUUUCCAUUUUGGUUCCCAAUCUAUUUUAUAAGGCAGAUCUUAUAACCACCACUGCUUCCUUUUCCUUAGCUGCUCCAUCUUCCAGUUGUUGCCACUGUGUGCCGGUGGCAGCUUUUGACAAGGAACCCAAGCUAGUUAGUUGGGCAGAGCUUAACAGCUUUUGCUGUACCUCACUCCUAGCUUUUUGAUACCAAGUCUCACUAGCCAGUUACGUCUCAUUGAUUCUCUGUUUAAUAGUCUGUGGUAGUGGUUUAGUGGUGUACAUGAUGCAGGGCUAUUAUGGUACUAGCACUUUAUGAAAAUAAAGAAGGAAAACAUAUCA
rnacentral:lncRNA from 1 species